rnacentral:lncRNA from 1 species
CCUUACCUUCAUUCUUACUGUUCUCAUUCAGUACUGGUGGUGGAGCAGAUGAUGAUGAUGAGUUUGACAUUGAUAUUCCAAGGUCAGAGCAACCCAUGCCAAUGGAGCCUUCAAAUUCAAAUUUAAAAUCUCAAGGUUUGGGUGCCUCCUUUUCUCCCAAAGUUUGACAUUUGGGUCCAUAGGAGUGUCAGCGGGCUUACAACCAUUCAUACAUGUCUCUUGUAGGAGAUCAAGAACAUAUUUUCUCCGAGAAACAACAUUUCCUUUUUUCGAUCUUGCUACUUCCAUGUCAAGGAAAUAUUUGAGGGGACCCAAAUCUUUGAUUUCAAAAUCUACUACUAAGUUUUUCUUUAAUCUCUCCAUUUACGCCUCAUCAUUACCUUUAAGAACAUUAUCAUCAAUAUAUACACUUCAAGCACAUCUUAUGUAGCUUGUGAUAUAAGUUCUUCCAUCAUGACUCUUGAGCUAUGAAUCUUUAUGGGGA